rnacentral:rRNA from 1 species
GACGAACGCUGGCGGCGUGCUUAACACAUGCAAGUCGAACGAUGAAGCUGGAGCUUGCUCCGGCGGAUUAGUGGCGAACGGGUGAGUAACACGUGAGCAAUCUGCCCUUCACUCUGGGAUAACUGCGGGAAACUGUAGCUAAUACCGGAUACGAGACCUUGGGGCAUCCCAGGGUCUGGUAAGAAUUUCGCUGAAGAAUGAGCUCGCGGCCUAUCAGCUAGUUGGUGAGGUAAUGGCUCACCAAGGCGACGACGGGGAGCCGGCCUGAGAGGGUGACAGGCCGCACUCGGGCUGAUGUACGGACCAGAGUCGGACGGCGGGGAGAUGUGGGGAAUAUUGCACAAUGAGCGAACGCCUGAUGAAGCAGCGACGCGUGAGGAAUGAAAACCAUCGGGUUGUAAACCUCUUGUAGUAGGGAAGAAGGGCAAGUGACGGUACCUACAGAAAAAGUACCGGCUAACUACGUGCGAGCCUCCGGCGUAA